rnacentral:lncRNA from 1 species
AGAUUCCCCACCCAGCAUCCCAGAGGGAGGACCCAGGGAGAAGGGUGGAAGUGGGCCGUGGGCCACCACUCCAUUUUCUUGAUGGAUAAACUCAAUUUGGGGAUUGCAAAGCAGGGUCUUUGGACACUGAUCACACAAAGGGGAAUUUUGCCUGCUUCUUUCAGAAGCACCUUGGGAUCCCUAAGGUAUUCUGAUCCUGUGGCUCCAGGUUAAAACCUGAGUCUGUUUCUUCUUUCUUCUCCCCCUUUCUUCUUUCGAGAAGCAUGCAGAGUCUCUAGAAGCCUUGGUAUAAGACACAUUUGGGUCCACAAAUAGUUAUGGAUCCCUUCUUUGUGCAGGGCAUCAGGCUUCCUGGCCUUGCCCAGGCCUCACACUCUUGGACCAGUCUACGGAAGCCUCCUGCUGAUGGCCUCCUAGGCUGGAAAGGGCUCAUUUGCUUAGGGAGUCCCUCAUCUUAAGGUCAAUGCUGCCAUCUGCUGGUCAUUGUUAGGCAUGUCCUGCAUUCUCCCAGUCCCUGGUGGAAAUAGAAGCCCCAUGUAGGGAAGCCUGGUGUGACCCCUCUCUCUCUCUUGUUGGGCCUUUGAAAUGCCCUGUUCUGAGAAGGAGUGUCCCCUGAUCAUAUGCUUCUUUUAAUGCCUCUCAUUUUAAUUGGGUUUCCCGUCAACAAUCAAAUGGCAAAUCUUCCUCACUUACCACCUUACUUCAAAUUUAGUUCAAUUUAGCAUGUGAAACACCUGAUAGGAGUAAAAAAGCAGAGGGCAAGGAUACAAGGCCACGCUCCUGCACAAAGCAGGGAGAGGGAUUCGUGAUUAUAGAUGAUUUACACCUCAUGUGAGGUCUGAGCUGAGUCCUUACAGAUGAGUCAGAGUCAGCCAGGGGAAUCAUGGGAAAGAAGAUUCCAGACAAAAGGCCUAGGAAGUUGAGC